UUUCCGUAGGUGAACCUGCGGAAGGAUCAUUAUUGUAUAACCGAGGUUCGAGGCCUGUCGUUGUCGCUAACGUACCUGCAUUUGCGAAUGCCCCCAUACACCUCUAUCAAACCCCCCUUUGCGCCACUGCGUCGGUCCCGCUUUGGCUUGCUCGGGGGGCGGCAUUCGUUUUCUCUCUACUUUUGUAUGCCGUGUAGAAUGUAUAUUUUGUUUUUGCGAUCACGCUAUCAUUACAACUUUCAACAACAGACCUCUUGGCUCUCGCACCCAUGAAGAACG
rnacentral:misc_RNA from 1 species